rnacentral:rRNA from 1 species
CAGUAGCCGCGGGAAUACCAGCACCUCGAGUGGUCAGGAGGUUUAUUGGGCCUAAAGCAUCCGUAGCCGGUUGCAUAAGUUUUCGGUUAAAUCUAUGCGCUUAACGUAUAGGCCGCCGAAAAUACUGUGCAGCUAGGGAGUGGGAGAGGUACACGGUACUCGAUAGGAAGGGGUAAAAUCCUUUGAUCUAUUGAUGACCACCUGUGGCGAAGGCGGUGUACCAGAACACGUUCGACGGUGAGGGAUGAAAGCUGGGGGAGCAAACCGGAUUAGAUACCCCAGUAGUCCCUGUCUCUUAUAC